CCGGCGCACGGGUGAGUAACACGUAUCCAACCUGCCGUCUACUCUUGGACAGCCUUCUGAAAGGAAGAUUAAUACAAGAUGGCAUCAUGAGUCCGCAUGUUCACAUGAUUAAAGGUAUUCCGGUAGACGAUGGGGUGCGUUCCAUUAGAUAGUAGGCGGGGUAACGGCCCACCUAGUCUUCGAUGGAUAGGGGUUCUGAGAGGAAGGUCCCCCACAUUGGAACUGAGACACGGUCCAA
rnacentral:rRNA from 1 species